rnacentral:rRNA from 1 species
CCUACGGGAGGCAGCAGUGGGGAAUAUUGCACAAUGGGGGAAACCCUGAUGCAGCGACGCCGCGUGAGUGAAGAAGUAAUUCGGUAUGUAAAGCUCUAUCAGCAGGGAAGAAAAGGACGGUACCUGAGUAAGAAGCCACGUCUAACUACGUGCCAGCAGCCGCGGUAAUACGUAGGGGGCAAGCGUUAUCCGGAUUUACUGGGUUGAAAGGGAGCGUAGAGGGCAGUGCAAGUCUGUAGUGAAAGGGGGGGGCUCAACCCCCGGACUGCCCUUGAAACUGUACGGCUGGAGUGCAGGAGAGGUAAGUGGAAUUCCUAGUGUAGCGGUGAAAUGCGUAGAUAUUAGGAGGAACACCAGUGGCGAAGGCGGCUUACUGGACUGUAACUGACGUUGAGGCUCGAAAGCGUGGGGAGCAAACAGGAUUAGAUACCCGAGUAGUC